GACGAACGCUGGCGGCGUGCUUAACACAUGCAAGUCGAACGGAAAGGCCCUGCUUUGGUGGGGUGCUCGAGUGGCGAACGGGUGAGUAACACGUGAGUAACCUGCCCUUGACUUUGGGAUGACUUCAGGAAACUGGGGCUAAUACCGGAUAGGAUCUCCUGCUGCAUGGUGGGGGUGGGAAAGUUUCGGCGGUUGGGGAUGGACUCGCGGCGUAUCAGCUUGUUGGUUGGGUAGUGGCUUAGCAAGGCCUUGAGGGGUAGCCGGCCUGCGAGGGUGAGCGGCCACACUGGGACUGAGAUGCGGCCCAGACUCCAACGGGAGGCAGCGGUGGGGUAUAUUGCACAAUGGGAGGAAGCCUGAUGCAGUACAGCCGCGUGGGGGAUGACAGCCUUCGGGUUGUAUACUGCAUCCGCCUGUGACGAAGCGUGAGUGACGGUAAUGGGUAAAGAAGCACCGGCUAACUACGUG
rnacentral:rRNA from 1 species